UCCGCCAACAAUCUGUGCUUUGUAUGCCCUAUGGAGAGAAGCACCCAUCUUCCCCCUAAAAAGCAAAGAAAACAUUAGGAAAAAGCAUUAUGAAUGAGGAUGGCCUGAAUCUACACAUUGACAAUGCAAGAAAGGCUGCACCAAAGCCAGAAACACUGUUUGGGUUUUCCUACGAUAUUGUACGAAAGGUUGCUGCUAAGUAUCCCAAACAUCCCUGGAUCUUGGCAUGAAAGUCAUUAGGUUCAAGUGCAGCGAACCAGACCAUAUUGUCAUGCGUCCUACGGUUUCUGGAGCAAAUCCUUGUGUUGGGGCAG